AUCACUUCUCAGCCCUUUGGCUAAGAUUAAUUUUAAUAUCUGUUCUUAUCAGUUUAAUAUGUCUGUUUAUCUCUCCACACAAGUGAUGAGAAAACAGGCUCAGGGGCACUUAUGGGCUGAAUGGAUGUGUUUCCCCUAUUUAUUGAAGGCCUCAAAGCCAGCAUCUUUGCUUACAGUUAGAAAGUAGUUACACUCC